ensembl:lncRNA
AACUGAAAUGCCAUCUUGCAGAGCACAGUGACCUCUCUGGAGGGCUGUCCUUGGGCUGUGGCUUCAUGCUCCCCUGUCCCAUGGGAGACACUGGAUUUCCUUUCUAGCCUGUCUCCCACGGAGCACUUUGGAGCACUUAUGUUUCUGUAGUGCAGGACUAAUCUGGAAAGCAGCUCAGAGCACACGUGGGAAGGUGUCCUAUGCAAAGGCUGCCCUCAAGCACCGCUCUGCAGCCCCAGCUUGGCCAUUCACGCCAAGCAGUGAAGGCACCGUGGCUCCUGUUGCAGAGCAUGCCAAUACUUGGAACACGCUCCUGCCAAUAUCCCACAUAAAUCACGCCUUAUUCAGCCCUCCUCAGUCCUUCUGGAGAUUCCUACUUCACUGCAAGUGAUAUGUGAUGGAUCUGUGCUUCCUCGGAGCAUCACAUGGCAGGCAGAUCUCAAUAUGCAUAUUUACGCCUGGAGCUGCACCUCGACUCCUUGGGUUGCAUUGCGUAUGUGUAGCGAUUCCACGGCCAAGACUGCUUGCACAGGCUGGCUUGCAACCUCCGCUGCAUCCUUUCUGUGCAUGGUAACGAG